CAGUCGCCGCGGGAAUACGUAGGGUGCAAGCGUUAAUCGGAAUUACUGGGCGUAAAGCGUGCGCAGGCGGUUAUAUAAGACAGAUGUGAAAUCCCCGGGCUCAACCUGGGAACUGCAUUUGUGACUGUAUAGCUAGAGUACGGCAGAGGGGGAUGGAAUUCCGCGUGUAGCAGUGAAAUGCGUAGAUAUGCGGAGGAACACCGAUGGCGAAGGCAAUCCCCUGGGCCUGUACUGACGCUUAUGCACGAAAGCGUGGGGAGCAAACAGGAUUAGAUACCCCUGUAGUCCCUGUCUCUUAUAA
rnacentral:rRNA from 1 species